UACGAAGGGUGCAAACGUUAUUCGGAAUCACUGGGCGUAAAGGGUGCGUAGACGGUUUAUUAAGUUCGUUGUUAAAGGCUCCGGCCCAACCGGAGUAUUGCGAUGAAAACUGGUGAACUAGAGGGUGAGAGAGAGAAGUGGAAUUCCCGGAGUAGCGGUAAAAUGCGUGGAUCUCGGGAGGAACACCAAUGGCGAAGGCAGCUUCUUGGCUCACAUCUGACGUUGAGGCACGAAAGCGUGGGGAGCAAACAGG
rnacentral:rRNA from 1 species